rnacentral:rRNA from 1 species
GACGAACGCUGGCGGCGUGCUUAACACAUGCAAGUCGAACGGAAGGCCCUGCUUUUGUGGGGUGCUCGAGUGGCGAACGGGUGAGUAACACGUGAGUAACCUGCCCUUGACUUUGGGAUAACUUCAGGAAACUGGGGCUAAUACCGGAUAGGAGCUCCUGCUGCAUGGUGGGGGUUGGAAAGUUUCGGCGGUUGGGGAUGGACUCGCGGCUUAUCAGCUUGUUGGUGGGGUAGUGGCUUACCAAGGCUUUGACGGGUAGCCGGCCUGAGAGGGUGACCGGCCACAUUGGGACUGAGAUACGGCCCAGACUCCUACGGGAGGCAGCAGUGGGGAAUACUGCACAAUGGGCGGAAGCCUGAUGCAGCAACGCCGCGUGCGGGAUGACGGCCUUCGGGUUGUAAACCGCCUUCGCCUGUGACGAGGCGUGAGUGACGGUAAUGGGUAAAGAAGCACCGGCUAACUACGUG